AGAGAGGAUACACAUAGAAGUGUGCAAUGCUUUCUCAGCUCCUGUUUGUGGGGCUUAUCAUGCUACACUUCACUAGGAUGCUAGAAGGAUAUCUGUGAGUAUGAUGAUUUCAUUAUGUAUGUAUGUCUAAAAGAAGCAGAUGGUACCAUGAAAGAUACUUUUUAUUAUAUUUUCCUUUUUAUUUAAACAUUACAUUUUAACUAACACUUGGAGAUCCACUAUGAUCACACACAUUCUCCUGUCUUCAAAUGCUUUGUGAAAACUCUCACAGUGACAUGGGAUCAACCAGCACUCUUGGCAUUGUGGGAUAUCCAGCAAGCCAUUAGUUGGUGGGCCGAUUAGUGAUGUCGCGAACAUAAAAUUUUCGGUUCGGGAACAGCAAACGGGCGAACCGGGCGAACCGCCAUAGACUUCAAUAGGCAGGCGAAUUUUAAAACCCACAGGGACUCUUUCUGGCCACAAUAGUGAUGGAAAAGUUGUUUCAAGUGGACUAACACCUGGACUGUGGCAUGCCGGAGGGGGAUCCAUGGCAAAACUCCCAUGGAAAAUUACAUUGUUGAUGCAGAGUCUGGUUUUAAUCCAUAAAGGACAUAAAUCACCUAACAUUCCUAAAUUGUUUGGAAUAACGUGCUUUAAAACAUCAGGUAUGAUGUUGUAUUGAUCAGGUAGUGUAAGGGUUACGUCCGCUUCACAGUGACAGACCAAACUCCCCGUUUAACGCACCGCAAACAACCGCAAACAGUCCAUUUGCACAACCGCAAAACCAUUUGCACAAGGUUGGAUACCAAGCUAGCCAUGUCCCGUUCCUUGUCCUCACUGAUGUCAUUGAAGGUCUCUUCCUCCACCCAGCCACGUACAACACCAAGGGUCCCCAAAAGGUUACAACAAGCCCCCUGGGACGCCUGCUGUGUUUGGUCUUCCACCUCCUCAAAGCCACCUUCCUCCUCUGACUCCUCUUCUUCAGACUGCUCUCUCUGCAUUGCCUCUCUCUGCAUUAUUAUAAGGUGUGUUAAGUAGUACUAUUCCUAUCUGUUUAAUCCCUGUUAUGUCUCCUAUCAGGGGACGUGUAUAUGGCAUCGAUUUUAGGAACCGGGAGAUGGAAAAAGAUGCUUGGUCGGUCCUCCUACUUCAAAUUUGGGGCACUGCCGUGCAAUCUAAUGUGCCACCAGAUAGGAGUGGUGUGUUAAGUAGUACUAUUCUUAUCAGUUUAAUCCCUGUUACGUCCCCUAUCAGGGGACGUGUAUAUGGCAUCGAUUUUAGGAACCGGGAGAUGGAAAAAGAUGCUUGGUCGGUCCUCCUUCUUCAAAUUUGGGGCACUACGCAUGCAAUCUAAUGUGCCACCAGAUAGGAGUGGUGUGUUAAGUAGUACUAUUCUUAUCAGUUUAAUCCCAAUGUCACGACUACUAGUGUGGUCCAGCACGCAGAAACUAUGUAAACAUAUACAUAGGCAAGAAAAGGAAAAUAAAAGGACAGAGCGUAAACCGGACCUUAGAAUGGCCGGACUAAUACGCUAUAGCCAGAGAAUGGUCAAAGGGAAAGCCGAGGUCAAGGAAGCAAGAAAAUACACAAUACCAUUUACACAAGCCAAGUCAGGGAAACCAGAAUUCAAAAUAACCAGGGAAAAGCCAAGAUCAGGAUACCAGGAAAUCAGAUUCACAAUGAUAAAGCACUCUCAGGAAACCAGGAACAGGAAACCACGACAGGGCAAGGUACUGGGGUGAGCUAGGGAUUUAAAUAUCACGCGGCGGGCCGGCAGCCGCGACACCCUGUUACGUCCCCCUCAUCAGGCCUUUUUUUAGUCGAAUGUAUCGCCCACUGUCAGUCCCUUCGGGAUCCAUCCCUCAUUCAUCUUAAUAAAGGUAAGGUAAUUUAGACUUUUUUGACCUAGGCGACUUCUCUUCUCAGUGACAAUACCUCCUGCUGCACUGAAGGUCCUUUCUGACAGGACACUUGAAGCAGGGCAGGCCAGAAGUUCUAUCACAAAUUGGGAUAGCUCAGGCCACAGGUCAAGCCUGCACACCCAGUAGUCAAUGGGUUCAUCGCUCCUCAGAGUGUCGAUAUCUGCAGUUAAGGCGAGGUAGUCUGCUACCUGUCGGUCGAGUCAUUCUCUGAGGGUGGACCCCGAAGGGCUGUGGCGAUGCAUAGGACUUAAAAAGCUCCACAUGUCCUCCAUCAACAGCGUCCUGUCCUUGCCGGCGUGGUCGUGGGAGGAGGAGGAUUACUUUCACCUCUUCCCCUGAUAGAUUCCUGUUGUGCUGUGACAUCACCCUUAUACGCUGUGUAAAGCAUACUUUUUAAUUGAUUUUGGAACUGCUGCAUCCUUUCCGACUUGCCGUAAUUCGGUAACAUUUUAGGCACUUUCUGCUUAUACCGGGGGUCUAGUAGCGUGGACACCCAGUACAGGUCGUUCUCCUUCAGCCUUUUUAUACGAGGGUUCCUCAACAGGCACGACAGCAUGAAAGACCCCAUUUGCACAAGGUUGGAUGCCGAGCUACUCAUGUCCUGUUCCUCGUCCUCAGUGAUCUCACUGAAGGUAUGUUCUUCCCCCCAGCCACGUACAACACCACGGGUACCAGAUAGGUGGCAACGAGCACCCUGGGAUGCCUGUUGUGGUUGGUCUUCCUCCUCCUCCUCAAAGACACAUUCCUCCUCUGACUCCUCUUCCUCACAAUCCUCUUCCAGCGUUGCCGCAGGUCCAGCAAGCGAUGCUGAUAAGGCUGUUUCUGGUGGUGAUGGUGACCAUAACUCUUCCUCUUCCUCUUCACGCUCAUCUACGGCCUGAUCAGCACUCUUCGCAGGGCACGCUCCAGGAAGAAAACAAAUGGUAUGAUGUCGCUGAUGGUGCCUUCAGUGCGACUGACUAGGUUUGUCACCUCCUCAAAAGGACGCAUGAGCCUACAGGCAUUGCACAUGAGCGUCCAGUAAUGUGGCAAAAAAAUUCCCAGCUCCGCAGAGGCUGUCCUAGCACCCCGGUCAUACAAAUAUUCAUUAACGGCUUUUUCUUGUUGGAGCAGGCGGUCGAACAUUAGGAGUGUUGGAUUCCAACAUGUCGGGCUGUCGCAAAUCAAGCGCCUCACUGGCAUGUUUUUUCGCCGCUGGAUAUCCGAAAAGUGCGCCAUAGCCGUGUAGGAACGCCUGAAAUGGCCACACACCUUUCUGGCCUGCUUCAGCACGUCCUGUAAGCCUGGGUACUUAUGCACAAAGCGUUGUACGAUCAGAUUACACACGUGUGCCAUGCACGGCACAUGUGUCAACUUGCCCAAAUGCAAUGCCGCCAACAAAUUUCUUCCGUUGUCACAAACCACUUAGCAGAUCUCCAGUUGGUGUGGAGUCAGCCACUGAUCCACCUGUGCGUUCAGGGCAGACAGGAGUGCUGGUCCGGUGUGACUCUCUGCUUCCAGGCAAGUCAACCCCAAGAUGGCGUGACACUGCCGUAUCCGGGAUGUGGAAUAGUACCUGGGGAGCUGGGGGGGUGCCGUUGAUGUGGAGCAAGAAGCAGCAGCAGAAGAGGACUCAGCCGAGGAGGUUAUGGAAGAGGAUGGAGUAGGAGGAGUAGAGGAGGUGGCAGCAGGCCUGCCUGCAAGUCGUGGCGGUGUCACCAACUCCUCUGCAGAGCCACGCAUUCCAUGCUUGGCAGCCAUCAGCAGGUUUACCCAAUGCGCAGUGUAGGUAAUAUACCUGCCCUGACCAUGCUUUGCAGACCAGGUAUCAGUGGUCAGAUGGACCCUUGCCCCAACACUGUGUGCCAGACAUGCCAUUACUUCUUUUUGCACAAUUGAGUACAGGUUGGGGAUUGCCUUUUGUGCAAAGAAAAUUUGGCCGGGUACCUUCCACUGCGGUGUCCCAAUAUCUACAAAUUUUUUGAACGCCUCAGACUCCACCAGCUUGUAUGGUAAAAGCUGGCGGGCUAAGAGUUCAGUCAAGCCAGCUGUCAGACGCCGGGCAAGGUGGUGACUUUGUGACAUUGGCUUCUUACGCUCAAACAUGUCCUUGUCAGACACCUGACUGUGGGCAGAUGAGCAGGAACUGCUCAAGGCGAGAGACGGAGGGGCGGAUGGUUGAGAGGGGGCAAGGAGGACAGCAGUGGUUAACGUGGCUGAAGAUGCUGGACCAGGAGGAGGAUGGCGGCUUUGAGUUUGUGUGCUGCUUGUACUCAUGUGUUGAUCCAAUAGGCGUUUGUGAUGUGUGAUCAUGUGCCUUCGCAAAGCAGUUGUACCUAGGUGGGUGUUGGACUUCCCACGACUCAGUUUCUUUUGGCACAGGUUGCAAAUGGCAUCACUGUUGUCAGAGGCAGACACACAAAAAAAAUGCCACACUGCUGAGCUCUGCAAUGACGGCAUUCUGGUGGUGGCAACAGCAUGCGUUGAUUGGCGUGCUGUCUGGCUGACUCCGGGUGCCGAUGCAUGCUGUCUGACUUUGCCACUAGCUCCUUGCGACGACAUCCCCCUGCUUCCAACUCAUCUCCUCCUCCUCCUCCUCCUCCUCUCUGUCUCCCCAUCUGAACUUUCCCCCUGUUCUUCUUCUCUUCUAGCGGGCACCCACGUGACAUCCACAAACGCAUUGUUAUCAUCAACCGCUUCACUUGUAUCUGACAACUCAGCAAAGGAAGCAGCAGCGGGUACAACAUCAUCAUCAUCACACCGUACGUCCAUGUGUUUAAUGCUGCCUGACUGAGACAUAUACCUGUUAUCUACAUCCUCUGGCAAUAAUGGUUGCGCAUCACUCAUUUCUUCCAACUGAUGUGUAAAUAGCUCCUCUGACAUACCAAGUGAAGCUGCUGUGGUGCUAGUGUUGGUGGUGGCGGCAGUCGGCGAGUGGUAACUUGAGAGGUGCCCGAAGCUAAGCUGGAGGAGGAUGGUGCGUCAAAGUUCCGAGCGGAAGCUGUAGAAGAUUGGGUGUCCUGUGUUAGCUAUUGUGACACCAGUGAGUGAGUGGUGGCACUGGGCGGGCCCUGAAACGCAGACUCGUGAAGGAAACUGACUGCUAUUAUAUUACAGUCAAAAAAGUUUUGUUUUUUUUAAAUGCAAGCUAUUGUGACACCAGUGAGUGAGUGGUGGCACUGGGCAGGCCCUGAAACGCACACUCGUGAAGGAAUCUGACUGCUAUUAUAUUACAGUCCAAAAAGUUUUGUUUUUUUUAAAUGCAAGCUAUUGUGACACCAGUGAGGGAGUGGUGGCACUGGGCAGGCCCUGAAACGCACGCUAGUGAAGGAAACUGACUGCUAUUAUAUUACAGUCCAAAAAGUUUUGUUUUUUUUAAAUGCAAGCUAUUGUGACACCAGUGAGUGAGCGGUGGCACUGGGCAGGCCCUGAAACGCACACUAGUGAAGGAAACUGACUGCUAUUAUAUUACAGUCCAAAAAGUUUUUUUUUUUUUAAAUGCAAGCUAUUGUGACACCAGUGAGAUAGUGUUGGCACUGGGCAAGGCUGGCAGGCAGGCAACUGCAGUUACAUUACACAGAAGAAAAAAAAAAGCAGACUGAUGUUCUAGCCCUAAAAAGGGCUUUUUGGGGUGCUGUCCUUACAGCAGAGAUCAGAUGAGUCCUUCAGGACUGUAGUGGACACUGAAUACACUAGCCUAGCUAUCAAUUUCCCUAUCAAAUCAUCAGCAGCUACACUGUCCCUCCUCUCACUAAGAAUGCAGCUUCACAAUGAAUGUAAAAUGGAUGCUGUCCAGGAGGUGGGAGGGUCUGGGAGGGAGGGUCUGCUGCUUAUUGGCUGGAAUGUGUCUGCUGACUGUGAGGUACAGGGUUAAAGUUUACUCAAUGAGGACAAAUAGGGGGCGGACCGAACAGUGCAUAUGUUCACCAUCCGUGGCGAACGUGAACAAGCGAUGUUCGCAGGAACUAUUCGCCAGCAAACCGUUCGGGAUAUCACUAUCUGUAAUCCAAGUGAACACUAAUUGUACCAAUCACUAAUUAAAUACAUUUGAAAGUGUCCUUAUUCCACAGCCAAUACACCAACAUCUAAUGAGUGACCAGUCUGACCAAAACAAAUCAAUAAUUAGGAGAUGUAAUUAUGUAAUGAUCACUAUUCAAAACUUAGUGCUCUUGAGAUUCAAACAAGAUAGUUAAAUAUACACUCUAGUCACCAGAACCACCACAGCUUAAUGUAUUGGUUCUUGAGUAUAUAGCCCUUUCUUGCAGGGUCAGCAGUGUAAAUGCUGCCAUUUCAGAGAAAAGGUAAUGCUUAUAAAGAUGGCUAAGACCACCUCAACAAAUCAAUAUGAGGAGAGGUGCCCCGACUGGGCACCUCCGUUGAUGGACACUUCCUAGCUGACGCCGAGGACCAUAAGCACUGCACCAGACACAACAACCACCGCAGACUCCACAACCACUGUAGCUUAACUGGAGUCUCGCCGUCGUCCCUCCACCCUGGAUCAACCUCUGACUUCCAGGACCGUGUGGGCAAGACCUCUCCUCCAGGAGAGCGUAUCAGGAACAGCUCUUAAAAGUGCUAAGCGAUUAGAGCUCAGGGGAGUAUACAAAGUAUAGCAAUCCCCAGUGUGAUUUUAGCAGUUCCCUACAAUAGCGAGACAAGACUACGUAUUGAGGGUUAAGCAGAUCAGAAUGAACUGAGGGUUUAAUGUCUCUUUUAUAAGUUUAUAUAAGUUUUCCCACAAGGUUACCACCCAUAUGGACCUUGUGGAGCACAGGACUUAAAGUUACAAAGCCAAUCAAAACACUCUUGUACAGUUAGGCACUCCCAGAUAAUGUACACAAACACUCCCCUCUACCUGUGAUAAAAUUACCAAACACAAUGGGCUAACUCAAUUACCCACAGGCAGAAAACACAAAUUUUUCACAAAACACAGAAAACACCCCAAAACACCACAUAACCCCACAUAACACCCACAAAACACCAUACAUCACUGCAUAGCCCUGAUCUGGGUGAACAACAUAUCCAAAAAUCACCCUGAUCAGAGCAGGCGUUCAAAAGUUUUGUGGAAGUCACAUUUGACCGACUGCAAGCAUGGUUUUCAUGCCCAAAAUAGUUCCACAGAUUUAGGCUGUGCGACCGGUCUAUCUUCUCCUCUAUCCUGGUGAUAAUUGGCUUAAGUGGCUGUGGUAACUUAAUUAUCUCCAGGUACAGGAAAUAUCUCUAAGUCAAAAACUGUUACAAAAACCACAUAAAAAUACACAACUCUUAUAAUACAAUGUUUAACCUAUAUGUCCAACAUAUCCCCAGAUAGCUUGGAUCUGAGCGCUCAAUAUGUCCAAUGUUAAAAGUGCACUAUAGUACAAAUAAGGGUGGGGUCAGAAAAUAGCAGGGGCUGAUGGUCUGGCAGUGUUCCUGGGACAACGCCCUGCUGGAGAACAAUAGGACAGGAAAAGGGGGAGGGGAAGAGGCACAUUUUCCCAUGGAAGUCACUUUUUAAUAUGUCUUUUAGCCAUGGGCCAUACUCACAGGGCAGAAUGCUGGCAAUCAGGCCCCUCCAAAAGCCUGUGGCGAAGGGUAGUUUGUCCCAAUAAGUAUUAUUUUAAACAAUCUGCUCAUUAUUUCCUUAAUAUAAUAACAUGUCUCUCUUGUUAGUUUUUUUUUCUACAAAGGGGAAUAUGCCAUUACAGAAUAUAACUAUCCCUGCAACUCUGGUAAGAUCAUUGCAUUAUAAACUAUUGUUUGCAUUCUGCUCCUUACCCAAACCCUACAUGCACUAACACCACCAACAAGCUGUGUUACUUCACUGCAAUCUUUCAUCAACAUUAAUUCACAGACAAGCACACAAAUAAACAUGAUGUGUUACACAAGUAUACCCCUAAAUCUACAUUCAAGUAUAGUUAUGUACAUAUAUACUUUUCAUCAGCUCAAAACAGGGCCAAACAAAUACACAUAAAGGCCUAACAUAACUUUUAAAGUAAUAAAAAAUGAAUAAGAAGACCGGAUGGCAAAAAAAUAAUAAUCCAACUAGGCUCAUUGAGGACUCCACAAAGAGUUUACAUUGUAGGAAAAGCCCAGUGCUCUGAUUAGUUUGCUUUUAAGCAUGCCAACCAGAACAUUCUGACAGGUAAGUCUCACUUAAUUUGCACACACUUGUCUUGGGAUAAGUGAGAUUUGCCUGUCAGAAUGCUCCGACUGAAACUGCAAGCUUAAUCUUGAUGGGCAAAAUUUGAUUUUUUUUUUCUUUUGCUUCACAUUGUUUGUUUUAUUUUAUUUUUUCUAUUUUGUUUGUGAUACAGUUUGUAUUUAAAAAAAAUUAAGUUUUUUGGACCUUUAAUAUAACUAUUAAAAGGGACACUAUAGUCACCUGAACAACUUCAGCUUAAUGAGGUUGUUCAGUUGAGAACUAUAGCUCCCUGCAGCCUUUCUCAUCUAAACACUGUAUUUUCUGAGAAAAUACAGUGUUUACAUUGAAAGCUAGGAACACCUCCAGUUGCAGUCACUCAGAGUGAACCAGAGGGACUUCUGAGUUGAUGGAGGCAUAAUAUGCCUCCAUCCACUCAGAUCUGCUGUGCACAGCAUCCUGUGAUUCAGUAUCUCCUCCCUCUGCAUGCAGACACUGAGCUUUCCUCAUAGAGAUUAAUUGAUUCAAUUCAUCUCUAUGAGGAGAUGCUGAAUGGCCAGGGCUGUGUUUGAAUCAUGCUGGCUCUGCCCCUGAUCUGCCUCUUUGUCAGUCUCAGCCAAUCCUAUGGGGAAGCACUGUGAUUGGAUCAGGCUACCACAUGUUAGCAGACUGCUUGUUUUUCUGAGUCUAACAGCAUGCAGAUUUACAGCUUCAGGCAUGAAUACAGUAAGAUUUUUAAUAUAUAUUUAUGGAGGCAUGAGGGGCGCAGGGGGGCUAGAUGGUGGUGUUAACACUAAAGGGUCAGGAAUCAUCGUUAUCACACUAUUCAGGCUGUCAAACAGUUAACCGGUCUAGUUAUGUCCAGGUAGAUAAGCUCAGUUGAGCUAAACUCAAGAGGCAGGCAUCUGUGCAGAGAACCUGCCUUGCAAAGACUUCUCAUCAAACGGCAUUGGAAAGUCUUUGAUUGGACAGCCACAGAAAGUCUGGGUGGGCUUAGAAGAGGAGGAGUUGCAAUGACUUCAAACAGCAGAUUUAACACUUUUGCAAGCUGGUUUUAUGAAUUACAUGCAUGCAUGAUUAUGUUUGGGGAUUGGGUAUUAUCUACUAAACAGUGAUUUUAUUUUUGUUUGAAAAGUGCCGUGUCUCUUUAAACUACAUGAAAAUAUCAAUGUCAACGUCAUUACUAUCAGGAGAAUUUCUUAAUGCUGCUUAAUACUUGACUUUGUUUUUUUUAGAUGAAAAUGCAAGCAAUAAAACAUGAAGACUGGAAAAGCAGUAUUAUCUGAAAAUAAGAGAAAAACCAGUGGAUGUUCAUAAAAAUAUUUGUAUUAUCAUGAAAUAAAUAUGAUUGUCUUCUUCA